CCUACGGGCGGCAGCAGUGGGGAAUAUUGCACAAUGGGCGCAAGCCUGAUGCAGCCAUGCCGCGUGUGUGAAGAAGGCCUUCGGGUUGUAAAGCACUUUCAGCGGGGAGGAAGGCGUUAAGGUUAAUAACCUUGUCGAUUGACGUUACCCGCAGAAGAAGCACCGGCUAACUCCGUGCCAGCAGCCGCGGUAAUACGGAGGGUGUAAGCGUUAAUCGGAAUUACUGGGCGUAAAGCGCACGCAGGCGGUCUGUCAAGUCGGAUGUGAAAUCCCCGGGCUCAACCUGGGAACUGCAUUCGAAACUGGCAGGCUAGAGUCUUGUAGAGGGGGGUAGAAUUCCAGGUGUAGCGGUGAAAUGCGUAGAGAUCUGGAGGAAUACCGGUGGCGAAGGCGGCCCCCUGGACAAAGACUGACGCUCAGGUGCGAAAGCGUGGGGAGCAAACAGGAUUAGAUACCCCUGUAGUC
rnacentral:rRNA from 1 species